GGAANUACUGGGCGUAAAGCGGGCGCAGACGGUUACUUAAGCAGGAUGUGAAAUCCCCGGGCUCAACCUGGGAACUGCGUUNUGAACUGGGUGACUAGAGUGUNUCAGAGGGAGGUAGAAUUCCACGUGUAGCAGUGAAAUGCGUAGAGAUGUGGAGGAAUACCGAUGGCGAAGGCAGCCUCCUGGGAUAACACUGACGUUCAUGCCCGAAAGCGUGGGUAGCAAACAGGAUUAGAUACCCUGGUAGUCCACGCCCUAAACGAUGUCGAUUAGCUGUUGGGCAGCAUGACUGCUUAGUAGCGAAGCUAACGCGUGAAAUCGACCGCCUGGGGAGUACGGUCGCAAGAUUAAAACUCAAAGGAAUUGACGGGGACCCGCACAAGCGGUGGAUGAUGUGGAUUAAUUCGAUGCAACGCGAAGAACCUUACCUGGUCUUGACAUGUACGGAAUCCUCCAGAGACGGAGGAGUGCCUUCGGGAGCCGUAACACAGGUGCUGCAUGGCUGUCGUCAGCUCGUGUCGUGAGAUGUUGGGUUAAGUCCCGCAACGAGCGCAACCCUUGUCAUUAGUUGCCAUCAUUAAGUUGGGCACUCUAAUGAGACUGCCGGUGACAAGCCGGAGGAAGGUGGGGAUGACGUCAAGUCCUCAUGGCCCUUAUGACCAGGGCUUCACACGUCAUACAAUGGUCGGUACAGAGGGUAGCCAAGCCGCGAGGUGGAGCCAAUCUCACAAAACCGAUCGUAGUCCGGAUUGCACUCUGCAACUCGAGUGCAUGAAGUCGGAAUCGCUAGUAAUCGCAGGUCAGCAUACUGCGGUGAAUACGUUCCCGGGUCUUGUACACACCGCCCGUCACACCAUGGGAGUGGGGGAUACCAGAAGUAGGUAGGGUAACCGCAAGGAGCCCG
rnacentral:rRNA from 1 species